rnacentral:rRNA from 1 species
AGCAUAUCAAUAAGCGGAGGAAAAGAAACCAACAGGGAUUGCCCCAGUAACGGCGAGUGAAGCGGCAACAGCUCAAAUUUGAAAUCUGGCCCUCGGGUCCGAGUUGUAAUUUGUAGAGGAUGCUUUUGGCGAGGUGCCUUCCGAGUUCCCUGGAACGGGACGCCAUAGAGGGUGAGAGCCCCGUCUGGUCGGACACCGAGCCUCUGUAAAGCUCCUUCGACGAGUCGAGUAGUUUGGGAAUGCUGCUCAAAAUGGGAGGUAUAUGUCUUCUAAAGCUAAAUAUUGGCCAGAGACCGAUAGCGCACAAGUAGAGUGAUCGAAAGAUGAAAAGCACUUUGAAAAGAGGGUUAAAAAGUACGUGAAAUUGUUGAAAGGGAAGCGCUUAUGACCAGACUUGCGCCCGGUGAAUCAUCCAGCGUUCUCGCUGGUGCACUUUGCCGGGCACAGGCCAGCAUCAGUUUGGCGCGGGGGAAAAAGGCUUCGGGAAUGUGGCUCCCUCGGGAGUGUUAUAGCCCGCUGCGUAAUACCCUGCGCCGGACUGAGGUACGCGCAUUGCAAGGAUGCUGGCGUAAUGGUCAUCAGCGACCCGUCUUGAAACACGGACCAAGGAGUCGUCUUCGUAUGCGAGUGUUCGGGUGUCAAACCCCUACGCGUAAUGAAAGUGAACGCAGGUGAGAGCUUCGGCGCAUCAUCGACCGAUCCUGAUGUUCUCGGAUGGAUUUGAGUAAGAGCAUACGGGGCCGGACCCGAAAGAAGGUGAACUAUGCCUGUAUAGGGUGAAGCCAGAGGAAACUCUGGUGGAGGCUCGCAGCGGUUCUGACGUGCGAAUCGAUCGUCAAAUAUGGGCAUGGGGGCGAAAGACUAAUCGA